rnacentral:misc_RNA from 1 species
AAGUCGUAACAAGGUUUCCGUAGGUGAACCUGCGGAAGGAUCAUUAUCAUCCUGUUAGAUUUAAGGCUUCACCGCCCUAAAAUCUAUCUACCAACCGUGCAACCGUUUCUCUACCUCCUUUCUACAAGAGCUCUGGCAGGACUUUCGUUGGACCGAGUGGUGAAAACGAGUCUUGUUUGGAAUCGAUUUCGGUCGGUAUUGUAGAUUGGUUGUAUCUUUUUGACCGCUCUCAUUUACCUUUUGAACAAAAACAUUUCAAUCUUGUAUUGAACUGAUUUUGUGUUUUCUUUUUUCCUGUGUGACAACACAGGCGGAAAAAAACAUAACCAAUGAUAUACGUAACAUAAGAACAACUCUUAGCAACGGAUAUCUUGGCUCUC